ensembl:snRNA U6 U6 spliceosomal RNA
GCUGGCUUUGGCAGCACACACACUAAAGGAGAGAGAGAUAGAAGAUGAGCAUGGCCCCUGCAGAAGGAAGACACGAAAAUUCGUGACGCGUUCCAUAUUAGA